rnacentral:rRNA from 1 species
UACGUAGGGGGCAAGCGUUGUCCGGAUUUAUUGGGCGUAAAGAGCGUGUAGGCGGCUUUACAGGUCCGUUGUGAAAACUCGAGGCUCAACCUCGAGACGCCGGUGGAAACCGUAAAGCUAGAGUCCGGAAGAGGAGAGUGGAAUUCCUGGUGUAGCGGUGAAAUGCGUAGAGAUCGGAAAGAACACCAGCGGCGAAAGCGCUCUGCUGGGCCGACACUGACACUGAGAGACGAAAGCUAGGGGAGCGAAUGGG